GACGAACGCUGGCGGCGUGCUUAACACAUGCAAGUCGAACGGUAAGGCUCCAGCUUGCUGGGGUACACGAGUGGCGAACGGGUGAGUAACCCGUGGGUGACCUGCCCUGCACUUCGGGAUAAGCCUGGGAAACUGGGUCUAAUACCGGAUAGGACCGCACCGUGGGGGUGUGGUGUAGAGUCUUUUCGGGGUGGGUUGGGCUCGCGGCGUAUCAGCUUGUUGGUGGGGUAAUGGCUUACCAAGGCGGAGACGGGUAGCCGGCAGGAGAGGGUGGACGGCCACAUUGGGACUGAGGCACGGCCCAGACUCCUACGGGAGGCAGCAGUGGGGAAUAUUGCACAAUGGGCGGAAGCCUGAUGCAGAGACGCCGCGUGGGGGAUGACGGCCUUCGGGUUGUAAACUGCUGUCACCUACGACGAAGCGUUUCUGACGGUAGAUGGAGAAGAAGCACCGGCUAACUACGUG
rnacentral:rRNA from 1 species